GUUGUAUAUAUAUAAUACUGUAAUCUCUCUGUUAAUAUCAGGUUAUACUGUUGCCAUCGAUUGCUUCGGAACAACAUGCAACGUGGAUCAACAGUUUUGCCAGAUUAUGCUCAAGUCACAGACAGGGCAAUGUUAUACUCAUCAUGGACAAGGGCACCACGAAGACCAUCAGUCAUGCAUUGGUGCUCAUCACCCUGGGGACCAUUGUUUCUGCAAAGAUCAAGCUUGUGUAUCCCAAAUUACUAGAGAAUGGGCCUCUGGGUCAACGACUUCAGGUGGCUCAAUAAUGACAUCUGAUCCUGCAGGCGGAUCAAACAUGACAACAAAUGCUCCAAUGACAACUCAGAUGCCAAUGACUACGUAAAUAUACAGUAACUGUUACCUCAAGCAUAAUUGAAGAGGAAGAAAAAGACGGUGCGUGACUAUACAAGUGAAUAAUUAAAUGUUUAUAUAUGAUAGACUUUUGUUAUUCACGUGAACCCAUUUCAUUUGGCUAAAUACUCACUGCAUUAAAA